UUUCCGGUCUCUAUUAGAAAAUGAAUUUCUUAUGAAUUUUACUUAGUGUAAAAAUAUUAAUGGAAAGUUGGGAUUAAUUUACCAUGAUUAGAUUAUUAAGUGGGGGUUAAAAAUUUAAUUUUUCACUAAACAAGUCAUUAGUGCACUAAGUGGGCCCCACCAAGACAUGUGGCCAAAUUUAAUUGGUUCAAGCCUUGAGUGGGACACUUGUCACUCUUAAGGGCUGCCUAUAUAAGGAAAAAAAUCUGAUGAGCAAGAGCUCAUUUUCCACCUUCAACAUUACAAGAAAACCUAGCUAGAGAGAGAGAGAGCAUAAGCCAUGGCAUUUGGCCAUGGCUAGCAAAAUUGGAGCUCGAAUUCCUUGAUCAAAAAGAUCAGAUUUUCAAAGUAUUCCAACCAGUUAGGAAGGCUAUAAUAACGUGGAUUAGUCAUUUGGAGCAACAAGAACAAGUAUUAGUUCAUUUCACAACUUCUAGCCAAAUUAAGAAGCCAACUUGUUAAGGUUGAAGUGCCAAUCGAGACGAGUUUAAAUUAUUGAAUUGGUACAGACGACAAACGGUACAGACGCACAGUUUGGUGAUCCAUCAGUUUAGGACACCCUCUUCUUCUGUUUGGAGUGCUCCUCUUAUUCCGGAGCCUACAUUUUGGUAUAUAUACUUGUUUGAUGCAUAUGUAUAUAUUUGUUCAGGGGUACGGCGGGGCCCUGUUCCGCCAUAUGAUCCGUUUGGUCUGUUUAGAGGUCUGUAGACGUAUUUGUGGGUGUGUGUGCCUACUUCUGUACGGAUGUGUUUGCAUGACUCUAUUCGUUAUGGCAGCCUUGUCGGCGUGCACUUUGUAUAUGUUUUGGGCCGUUGCGCCAUCUGUUAGCCUUGUCGGCUUUUGAUACUUUU